AAGGAGAGACACAGGGAUUGCCUUAGUACGGCGAGUGAAGCGGCAACAGCUCAAAUUUGAAAUCUGGCUCUUUUAGAGUCCGAGUUGUAAUUUGCAGAGGGCGCUUUGGCGUUGGCAGCGGUCCAAGUUCCUUGGAACAGGACGUCACAGAGGGUGAGAAUCCCGUACGUGGUCGCUAGCCAUCACCGUGUAAAGCCCCUUCGACGAGUCGAGUUGUUUGGGAAUGCAGCUCUAAAUGGGAGGUAAAUUUCUUCUAAAGCUAAAUACUGGCCAGAGACCGAUAGCGCACAAGUAGAGUGAUCGAAAGAUGAAAAGCACUUUGGAAAGAGAGUCAAAUAGCACGUGAAAUUGUUGAAAGGGAAGCGCUUGCAGCCAGACUUGCCUGUAGUUGCUCAUCCGGGCUUUUGCCCGGUGCACUCUUCUGCGGGCAGGCCAGCAUCAGUUUGGGCGGUUGGAUAAAGGUCUCUGUCAUGUACCUCUCUUCGGGGAGAACUUAUAGGGGAGACGACAUACAACCAGCCUGGACUGAGGUCCGCGCAUUUGCUAGGAUGCUGGCGUAAUGGCUGUAAGCGGCCCGUCUUGAAACACGGACCAAGGAGUCUAACAUCUAUGCGAGUGUUUGGGUGUCAAGCCCGAGCGCGUAAUGAAAGUGAACGGAGGUGGGACCCCUUUUAGGGUGCACCAUCGACCGAUCCUGAUGUCUUCGGAUGGAUUUGAGUAAGAGCAUGGCUGUUGGGACCCGAAAGAUGGUGAACUAUGCUUGAAUAGGGUGAAGCCAGAGGAAACUCUGGUGGAGGCUCGCAGCGGUUCUGACGUGCAAAUCGAUCGUCAAAUUUGGGCAU
rnacentral:rRNA from 1 species